UGAUUAGCUAGUUGGCGGGGUAAAAGCCCACCAAGGCGACGAUCAGUAGCUGAUCUGAGAGGAUGAUCAGCCACACUGGGACUGAGACACGGCCCAGACUCCUACGGGAGGCAGCAGUGGGGAAUCUUGCACAAUGGAGGAAACUCUGAUGCAGCGAUGCCGCGUGAGUGAAGAAGGCCUUUGGGUUGUAAAGCUCUUUUGUAGGGGAAGAUAAUGACUGUACCCUAAGAAUAAGGUCCGGCUAACUUCGUGCCAGCAGCCGCGGUAAUACGAAGGGACCUAGCGUAGUUCGGAAUUACUGGGCGUAAAGCGCGCGUAGGCCGUUGAGUUAGUUAAUUGUGAAAUCCCAAAGCUUAACUUUGGAACUGCAAUUAAAACUGCUCGACUAGAGUUUGAUAGAGGAAAGCGGAAUACAUAGUGUAGAGGUGAAAUUCGUAGAUAUUAUGUAGAACACCAGUUGCGAAGGCGGCUUUCUGGGUCAACACUGACGCUGAGGCGCGAAAGUAUGGGUAGCAAAGAGGAUUAGAUACCCUCGUAGUCCAUACCAUAAACGAUGAUUGCUAGAUGUUGGAAAUUUAUUUUCAGUAUCGCAGCUAACGCAUUAAGCAAUCCGCCUGGGGAGUACGACCGCAAGGUUAAAACUCAAAUGAAUUGACGGGGACCCGCACAAGCGGUGGAGCAUGUGGUUUAAUUCGAAGAUACGCGCAGAACCUUACCAACCCUUGACAUGUCUGUCGCGAGUUUAGGAAACUAGACUUUUCGGUUCGGCCGGACAGAACACAGGUGCUGCAUGGCUGUCGUCAGCUCGUGUCGUGAGAUGUUGGGUUAAGUCCCGCAACGAGCGCAACCCUUAUUCUGUGUUGCCAGCGGAUAAUGCCGGGGACUCGCAGAAGACUGCCGGGGUCAACUCGGAGGAAGGUGGGGACGACGUCAAGUCAUCAUGCCCCUUACGUCCAGGGCUGCAAACACGCUACAAUGGCCGGUACAAAGGGCUGCGAACCCGCGAGGGCAAGCUAAUCCCACAAAGCCGGUCUCAGUUCGGAUUGAAGGCUGCAACUCGCCUUCAUGAAGCUGGAGUUGCUAGUAAUCCCGGAUCAGCACGCCGGGGUGAAUACGUUCCCGGGCCUUGUACACACCGCCCGUCACACCACGAAAGUCGGCAACACCCGAAGCCGGUGGCCUAACCGUAAGGAAGGAGCCGUCGAAGGUGGGGUCGGUGAUUGGGGUGAAGUCAUAACAAGGUAACCGUA
rnacentral:rRNA from 1 species